UUCCUCAAGUGACUUUGUGUAGUCUGUAGACUUGAGAAGACUAAGAGAUUUUCUUCUCUCUUAGGUGUUGUUUGUAAUAUUUCAAGAUUAGUGGAUUAAGUCCUUGUUGAAGGCGAAAUCACCUUGGCCGGGUGGACCGGAGUAGCUUUGUGUUAUAAGCGAACCAGUAUAAAAUCAUUGUGUGAUUUUCUUUUUGAAAAAGCGCUUAUUUUUUCAAAC
rnacentral:lncRNA from 1 species